AACGAACGCUGGCGGCAGGCUUAACACAUGCAAGUCGAACGCCCCGCAAGAGGAGUGGCAGACGGGUGAGUAACGCGUGGGAACAUACCCUUUUCUACGGAAUAGCUCUGGGAAACUGGAAUUAAUACCGUAUACGCCCUACGGGGGAAAGAUUUAUCGGCAAAGGAUCGGCCCGCGUUGGAUUAGGUAGUUGGUGGGGUAAUGGCCUACCAAGCCGACGAUCCAUAGCUGGUUUGAGAGGAUGAUCAGCCACACUGGGACUGAGACACGGCCCAGACUCCUACGGGAGGCAGCAGUGGGGAAUCUUAGACAAUGGGGGAAACCCUGAUCUAGCCAUGCCGCGUGAGCGAUGAAGGCCUUAGGGUUGUAAAGCUCUUUCAGUGGGGAAGAUAAUGACGGUACCCACAGAAGAAGCCCCGACUAACUCCGUGCCAGCAGCCGCCGUAACAC
rnacentral:rRNA from 1 species